UACGAAGGGGGCUAGCGUUGCUCGGAAUCACUGGGCGUAAAGGGUGCGUAGGCGGGUCUUUUAGUCAGGGGUGAAAUCCUGGAGCUCAACUCCAGAACUGCCUUUGAUACUGAGGAUCUUGAGUUCGGGAGAGGUGAGUGGAACUGCGAGUGUAGAGGUGAAAUUCGCAGAUAUUCGCAAGAACACCAGUGGCGAAGGCGGCUCACUGGCCCGGUACUGACGCUGAGGUGCGAAAGCGUGGGGAGCAAACAGG
rnacentral:rRNA from 1 species